GAUGAACGCUGGCGGCGUGCCUAAUACAUGCAAGUCGAGCGGACAGACCUGUAUCGGGCUCCUCUGGCGUUAGCGACGGACGGGUGAGUAACACGUGAAUAACCUACCUAUAAGACUUGGAUUACGGCAGGAAGCCGUAAUUAAGACCAGAUAAUAUUUUUGACCGCAUGGGGCAGGAAUGAAACGCGGGUUUGCGAUCGACUAGAGAUGUAUCCGCUCGGCAUUAGCUAGUUGGUAAGGUAACGGCUUACCAGGGCAACGGUGCGUAGCCGAGGUGAGAGGGGGAUCGGCGCCAGUGAAAGUGAGCCACGGUACAGACUCCUAGGGGCGGCAGAAACAGGGACUCUUGCGCGAUGGGCGAAAGACUGCAGGAGCAACGCCGCGUGAGUGAUGCAGCUCUUCGGAUCGUAAAACUCUGUUAUUAGGGAAGACCACAUGUGUACGUAACUAUGCACGUCUUGACGGUAGUUAAUAAGAAAGCCACGGCUAACUACGUG
rnacentral:rRNA from 1 species